rnacentral:rRNA from 1 species
CCUACGGGAGGCAGCAGUGAGGAAUAUUGGUCAAUGGGCGCGAGCCUGAACCAGCCAAGUAGCGUGAAGGAUGACUGCCCUACGGGUUUUAAACUUCUUUUAUAAAGGAAUACAAUGAGGCACGUGUCCCUAUUUGUAUUUACUGUAUGAAUACAGAAAGGCAAACUCCGUGCCAGCCGCCGCGGUAAUACGGGGGAUACGUGCGUUAUCCGGAUUUAUUGGGUUGAAAGGGAGCGUAGAUGGGUUGUUAAGUCAGUUGUGAAAGUUUGCGGCUCAACCGUAAAGUUGCAUUUGAUACUGGCAGCCUUGAGUGCAGUUGAGGUAGGCGGAAUUCGUGGUGUAGCGGUGAAAUGCUUAGAUAUCACGAAGAACGCCGAUUGCGAAGGCAGCCUACUGAUCUGCAACUGACAUUGAUGCUCGAAAGCGUGGGUAUCAAACAGGAUUAGAUACCCCAGUAGUC